rnacentral:lncRNA from 1 species
GCACAAGCGACAGAUUGACUUCAUGAAGUACUACUCAAUCACUGAAGAAACACAUUGAAGAACCUGGACCUAAGUGUAGAAUCCAGCUAAGAGUUUUAAUGUUGAUUUUUAGAGUUGUUCAUUGUGUUUGAACUAUUGAUGUACUAUUAGUUUCAGUGAGUUAUAAACUGAACUAGGAGCUAGUCUUCGAGUUGGAGAAAACUCAAAGACUUUGGGAACGCAUACCUUGGGAGGUGUGUGUAGUUAGGAAUUAGAGUUUAUAAUUUUCAGUCGUUGCGUUAAAGAAAUUAGAGUUUAUAAUUCCUAUUUGUUGGUUACAAGAGUUUUGUAAUGAGUCAUUGUUGAGGCUCAGAGUUAUGUAGUGAAGUUGGGGUU